rnacentral:rRNA from 1 species
GUGAUAAAUUUAACGGCCGCGGUACCCUAACCGUGCAAAGGUAGCAUAAUCACUUGUUCUUUAAAUAAGGACUUGUAUCAACGGCAUCACGAGGGUUUUACUGUCUCCUCUCUCCAAUCGGUGAAACUGAUCUCCCCAUGAAAAAGUGGGGAUAAACUUAUAAGACGAGAAGACCCCAUGGAGCUUUAAAACCUAUAGCAACCUAGCAAAACAUUUCCAUCUAGCUAUAAAACGAUGCUCAAGGACUUUAGGUUGGGAGGACCACGGAGCACAAGAUAACCUCCGUAAUGAAAAGAAUAAAAUCUUUACCAAAGAGCCACAACUCUAAGAAUUAGAAAACUAACGUACAUGACCCGAUAUCGAUCAAUGAACUAAGUUACCCUGGGGAUAACAGCGCAAUCCACUCUGAGAGUUCAUAUCGACGAGCGGGCUUACGACCUCGAUGUUGGAUCAGGGUAUCCUGGUGGUGCAGCCGCUACCGAAGGUUCGUUUGUUCAACGAUUAAAACCC